rnacentral:lncRNA from 12 species
GCGAGAACGCCCUCCCCCUGGUAGCUGGCUGUCCGCGGAGCCCCAGCAGGGAGAGCCCCUCCGCGGGCCUAUGCUCCAGUCGUCAGGGCACCAGUUGUUGGGAUAGAGGGACGAGCUGCCUUCCUCCGUGCCCUUUCCUGCUCACUUACGGACUCCCUCUCGCACAGACAGGAGCCUGGAGGAGGGUGAUACCAGGGAAUGUCAUUUACUGAGCCCUUACUACGUGCUGCCAUCGCAUCCUUGCAAAGCCUAACAGGUAGAUGCUCAAUUUCAGAUGAGGAAGCGUAGGCUUGGUGUGGAAACUGCCUCCUCAAAAAAAAGAAAGAAACUGCCUCUUCCGUGAGGGCCGCCUGGCAAGGGGUAGCGGCAGGGCUGGCGGGCCAGGCGCUGCUCUGGGGGCCCCCGGCGGGGGCUGUGAGGCUGACCACCCCGGUGCUGGUUGCUCCAGCUCCUCCUGACCCGGGCUGGGUUUCUCCCGUGCAACACUUGGAACUUUGAGUUGUUGAUGUUGCUGCUGCUGCUCUAAUUUGGACAACAUCUGCAUUCCCUCUCCGAUGGUCACUGAGAUUUCUGGCAGUCGCCGAGGACUCAUUGCCUCGUCGUUGCCAUGGGUGUUUUUCUCAGAUCCCGGCUCUGGGCCCAGGGCCAUCGCCCCGAUUCACCGUGCUCAAGACAUGCCUUUGUCAGCACAACGGCGACCUCAGGUUUGCAGUUCAAGGCAGAAGCUACCCAUCACUGCGAGGGUGAGACAUUCCUUUCUGGAGUGCAGUUUUUCUCAGACCAAGAAAAUGAUCUCUCCUUCCCAAGAAGAAUCUCUUUUCUCUGAUAAACACCUGACUUCACUCUUUUGCAGACUUGCAAAAUUACUUAAGUGUAUUCAAGCUCAGGGGUUGGCUGAGUGCUUGCACCAUAUCUUGAGGUAUUCUGCAUUUUAUAAUGAUUAUGUUUUACUCAGUUGCAGUCACGUCAGACACGUUAUCAUUAUAAAGACCAUUGUGGGGUCACUGUAGCAACUGACCGGGUCCGCAGGCACACUGCCCGGGCUGCUUGCCCUGGUCACACGGCCCAGGCUUUGAAGACAAAGGGAUGGGGGUCCCCCCGGGUGGCUCAGUCAGUUGAGCGUCCAACUCUUGAUUUCGGCUCAGAUCAUGAUCUCAGGAUGGUGAGAUUGAGCCCCAUAUCAGACUCCACACUCAGCAUUGUGUCUGCUCAUCCCUUUCCUCUCUUUUGCUCUCUCAAAUAAAUAAAAUCUUUAAAAAAAAAAACA